AGACGUAGGAGGCAAGCGUUAUCCGGAUUUACUGGGCGUAAAGGGCAAGUAGGCGGUUGUCCAAGUUGGGCGUGACAUCUACUGGCUUAACUAGGAGGGGUCGUUCAAUACUGGAUGACUUGAGGACAGAAGAGGGAAGUGGAACUCCCAAUGUAGCGGUGGAAUGCUCAGAUAUUGGGAAGAACACCAGUGGCGAAGGCGGCUUCCUGGUCUGAUCCUGACGCUGAGAGGCGAAAGCUAGGGUAGCAAACGGGCUUAGAUACCCCGGUAGUCCUAGCUGUAAACGGUGGAUACUAGGUAUCGGCGGUUAAGGCCGUCGGUGCCGAAGCUAACGCGUUAAGUAUCCCGCCUGGGGACUACGACCGCAAGGUUAAA
rnacentral:rRNA from 1 species